ACUCCUUAAUAAGAUGAAUCCGUGUCACCAACAAUAAGUCAUGCUGCCUCUGCUUCCUGUCGCCUCCUGACAGGUCUCUGGUGCCAUCCCGUUCUUCUCUGCAGACAAUUAUUGUGAUAACCGCAUCCAGGCCAUCAAAGAAACAGCUCAGCGAUUGUCAUGACAACCUGAAGAGAGGACGUGCUGUACAGCCACCCAGAGCGGGGACAGAGGGUCCCUGUGACAGGAAGAUAACAUAAGACAAAGGACACAGAUGGAGCUCAGUAACCCAGUAUGAGGCGAACCACCGAUACAUGCGUGUUGUUGGCGAAGAUUCCUUCAUCACGCAUCCUUCCACCUGUGUCUACUUCAGCAAAACAUCAUUUGGCGUAACCGACUUUCCCAAUAAACCAGAAGUUUCCACUUCAAUCAUCUCUCUGCUGCCCCACAGACCUGGUAG
rnacentral:lncRNA from 1 species